rnacentral:lncRNA from 1 species
UGUUCAUAAAGGAUCCAAAUGGGAUGCCCACAUGCAGGAACACCCGGAAUUGUGGGCUGCAGUUGGACACUAUUGCAUUUCUGAGCAUCAAAUUCAUCAUGGGAACCACUCAGUUGCACACUAUUGGAGGUGCUAAACAUUUCCAUAGCCUCCCACGCCAUGUUUGCGCCACCACUCCGCUUCCCUUCCAUUGAAAAUGAAUAAGAACACAUGUAUAUGGGCCGUAAUGACUUAAAAUUGAACAACUUCCUCUUUCGACAGUUUUGAAAAACAUUCCCGGGAAAAUAACAGCAUCUCAAGCUUGUCGUUUAACUACUACAACUAAAACAAAGAACAUGGUUCAGGAAUGUAAUGUCCUAAAAUGCUGUUUAUGCCAAAUCUACCAAGUGCAACAGGUAACAAAAGUUUAAGUUGCUACUAGCUAGCUUGUAUGCGUUGCAUGUGUAAAUAUUUGCUCCAUUCAUUUCGGGUUAAAAUGAGCAAAACAAAUGCAAGAUUAGGCUGGCAAGCUGUGGGGAAAAGCAAACGGCGGUCAUCAAGGAGUUUGGACGUAGCUCUGGAGUGGAUUGUAGACGUCAUGUUCAGAAGCUCAAUGCCAGGCGGAGAGAGAACGCUCUUCUGUUAUACAAGUGUUGGAGGGAAAUAUGUCAGAAGACUUGGACACACGUGACCUGUGUGUGUCAGUGUCUUCCCUAGUUUAAUUUCCAGGUGCGGAGAAAAAUGUUUGCCAAGAUGAUAUCGCUGUAUGCUAUGUCUCUGUUUAUUAUUUGUGCUAGGGAGGAGGUGGAAGUGGCUCAGUAAGAGCUGGUUGACAAAGCUCAGGAGUGUAAUGACCAGAAUGUGAGUUCACACCAUUGUUAUUGUUCAUCAAACGCAUGUUAACACGUCCCAGUCAAUUGAACGUAGGCACAGGAUCUCGAGCACAAAGGAUUAUAGCGCUAGGCCUGAACUUGUCUUGCAUUCUCAUGCUUAGUUUAGGGUAGUAGCCAUAAGAAAACAUUUACAGUUCAAAAUGACUGUAUUCCUGUAGGCAGAAGAGGCUAAUGGGAGUCUCAGGAGUAAAUACCUGCAGAGAAGAGGUUGAGGAAGAGAAUGUUUACAAAGACAGGAACCAUCUCUUAGGCAACAGAAAUGUCAGGUAUGUCCAUAGCUGUGUUCGAAUACCCAUACUAACAUACUGUAUACUACACUUAAUGAGUAUAUAGUAUACUAUUAGUUAAUUUUAGUAUACUGUAAACUAACAGUAUCCUUUCAGUUGAUUGAGCGUACUAGCUCUUUGCCAAUCUAACGGAAGUUGAUGCUUUUGCUAUGCAACCUCUUGCUACCUAGUCAGCAUAACAAAUUACCAGUUACACAUUUUACCACUUCGGGUGGGUUCUAAAUUCAACCUGGAGUGCCAGAGUGAGCUCGUAAAUUCACAGCAUUGUCGGUUUUGUAAAUUUAGAGUGUUUUGCUCUCGGAGCGCACUGGAUGCUCAGGCCGAGGAGUAGGAUUGAUUUGAGUAUUCUGGUCUUCCAAUGGCAGUCAAGCACCCAAGCGGAUGUUGGCUAGCUUGUUAGCUACUUCCAGGCACAUGAGACCACUCUUGACCAUUUUACUCCACUAGCAGAGCUGGUUAGGUGGUUUUCAUGUUAUCCAGAGCGUUGGUGACUUUACUGCUGGCAACAAUUUAAUUACGCUUUUUUGCGGACGUUUGCUGACACCACCCAUAUUCAACUGGUGUUGAGCACUCAUAAAUUCAUUAUUCUGUGCUCUGGUACACUUAUAGGAGAGAGCUUUGAAAUCGGAGUAGAUAGCCAGAGCGAAUUUACGAAAGUGCCAGAAUGUCGAUUGAGAACGCACAACGACUAUACCAUUUAGCUAAGAAUUACGGGAAUAAUCAAGUCAAUUAACGAUGGGUAGUUAGUUGGUCUAUAGGUAAUAUACUGGCAAGUUUUAUGUAUAAGUAGUCAACUAAUGUUAGGUAGGUAGCUAAC